rnacentral:misc_RNA from 1 species
AACUUUUGGCAAUGGAGCACUAGGCUCUCGCAUCGAUGAAGAACGCAGCGCAAUGCGAUAAGUAAUGUGAAUUGCAGAAUUCAGUGAAUCAUCGAAUCUUUGAACGCACCUUGCACUCCUUGGUAUUCCGAGGAGUAUGCCUGUUUGAGUGUUAUUAAUAUAUCAACCUCUCAAGCUUUUGCUUGUGGAGUGAAUGGAUGUGGGGGAAUUAUUUUGCUGGCCUUUUAAUGGGGUCGGCUCCCCUGAAAUGCAUUGGCAGAAUGAUUUUGUUGACCGUUUAUUGGUGUGAUAACUAUCUACGCUGUUGACGUGAAGCAAGUUCAGCUUAUAAUGGUCCAUUGACUUGGACAACAUAUUUAUUAAUGUGACAUCAAAUCAGGUAGGACUACUCGCUGAACUUAAGCAUAUCAAUAAGCGGAGGCU